rnacentral:lncRNA from 1 species
ACAGAGAACAGGGGCGAGAGAGAAACACAGAGAGAAACCGAGAGGGAGGGAGAGGGAGACGAGGAGGAAGGGAGAGGCAGAACAGGAGAGCUACAGAGGGAGAGAUUGGAAGAGCACGAGAGAGUUUUAAGCGAGUGAGAGGGAGAGAACCAGAUAGGGUGGGAGCUCGAGAGGGUGGUCGACUGUCGCCAGAGUCCAUUCGUCAAGCGCCAUCCUUGCAGUGCUUCCCCUGAACCAGGUAGGUCUUGUGCAUAGCUUCUUGAUUUGUGUCGAGUUGCGUCGCCUUACCGAGGAUCUCGCUUCGGGAACAUAGCGGGACGGCCAGUCAUCGCUCGAUUCAUUUAGAGUUCACCCUCCCGUCGCCACUGCCGAAGCUGAGUGGGGAUCUCUCAUUUUAAACGCCCGUUCCUGCGAAACCCCGCUGCUCCGCCCUUCUUUGGUAGGAUAGGACGUUGAGUUUGGUUCCUCCUGUUAGUUACACGCGUGCUGGGCUUCUGGGGGCUAAUGUGGUUAAUUUCGAAUGCCCAUUUGAUGAUUUUUUUUUUUUUUAAAUUUUGAUGCUGAGUCCAAGUACAAAAAGGGUUGAUAUUGUUCCUCCGUUCCAUGCCCACCACAUGUUCGACGAUAUGUCUAAGCCGGCCUAGGCGCGUGCAUUACCGAUUCCCAUGUGUUCAUGAACGCGGAUAAGUACGUUUUGCAUGUUAUGAACCUUUUGUUGUUUACAAGUUGUCAUUUGCAUCACCGGGCCAUGUCUGGGCACGUCUGCUGUGUUUUAUUUGUCUCCCAUUGAUUUCCUGGGUGUGGUGGUUGUAAGUGGUGCGCGGCUCAGAAGGGCCGGCAGUGAUGUCACGAAGUGAUGGUGGCGGCAAGCGACGAGCUCAGCCGCUGCUUUGUUUAUAGUGCUCGGCGUGAGAGAAUAGGUAGGGCGUUCGGAGAUGGAGGCAUCGGAAGGAGGGGCCAAUUUCGGGCGUGGGAAGAAACCAUCGAAGAAGAAGAAGAUGGGCAGGAAGAAGAAAUUAAAAAAAAAAAAUGUAAAAGCGGAAAAAGACAAAAGGGAAAAGAAGACGUUGGGAGAGGAAAAUUUAUGGGGAAGAAGGCCAAAAGGGAUGAAGUAAAAAAAGAAUUAAAAAAAGAAUAAAAAAGAAAAUUGCAGAAAAAAGUGAAACACAAAAGCUGGCUUCGGGAAAGAGAAACCGCAGAGAAGAGAUGUAGUAAAAAGACGAAAUAGGGAAAUAACAAAAAAAAAUUAAUUAAAAUAUUAAUAUUAAUAUAAAAACGAAAAAAAGGUUUUAAGAAAUCGGUUUUGUCUUCUUCUUCUUCUUUUUUUUUUUUUUUAUCUGGGUUUGUGUCAAGCCGACGGACCGGAUUGGGUUUACCGGUCUGGAUCCGUUUUUCUGAAUAUAAUAAUAUUAACUAUUAAAAAUAUAUUUAAAAGAACAUUAAAAAAUUCAAAAAAUAUUCAAAAAAUAUUGAAAAUUUGAGUAUUUUAAUUAAAAAAAUAGAAAAAUAAAAAAAAAUGAAAAAAUGUCAGGAAAUUCAAAUUUUCUUUUGAAAAGUUUUACAAAAGAUUUUAUGAGUUUUUUUUUUUCUUUUUCUAAAAAUAAAUGGAAGUUUCUUAACUCUUAAAGUUAUGCUAAAAAAUUGACUAAGCCUUUAGGGCUUUAUCUUAGGGUUUCUUAGGGACAAUUGUCCUUGAGUGCACAAUGUUGACAUGUGGAGUUUGGCUUCUCUUUAGUGUAGUUAGGAUUAGCAUUUGUCUUCUCUAUAGUAUUAAUUCUUUGCUUUCUCGUGCAAUUUAUUUAACGUUUUCCUUGGUCACUAAUUGUUAUUUUAAUGACCGCGCAUCCGCAUGAUUACCUUACAUGUUAGUGGAUAGAUGUAAAAUCAAUUCAAACUAUCUGACAAAAAUCUUUUCUUUUAAAAUAAACAAGAUUAGGUAUCGAAAGGGUAUUAAUUGGUCAAUUAGUGUAAUCAAGUCUCCGACCCUAAAUUCUCUAGUUGCGUAAGAAGUGAGGUAUACUCACAUGUCUCACUUGGUUUCUAACCGACCCCAGUAGGCUAGUUGCAACUCCUUUUGCAAAAUUCUUAAAAAAUACCCCAACGUCACGUGGGUAUGGGCUUGGGAGAGCCCGCGCCUAAUCAUAAGCCUUAGGUCCGUCCUUUAGGCAAUACCCCUAAACCUAUUCCCCCCCCCCCCCCCCAAAGGAUAGGUUGCAACAAUAUUCUAGCUUAGCCAAACUUCAUAGUUUUAUUUUAUGUGUUAUUGCGCGGGUAUAUUUAGCGAACUCGAGCAGCUUGCCAAGGUUUGCAUGUGGUAACGGUCAAGCAGAACAUGGAAACCUUUUAAAGCCAACAUUGCAUGGGGGGCGGGCACGAGAGAGAGGGAGAGAGAGAGAGAGAGAUUCUUAUGAAGAAUGAUAAUUUAUGACUCAAAACGUUCACGAUCAGUUACAAUAAGAACAAUUCUUUUAUUGGGAACCAAUUAUCAAUCUCAGCAAUCAUGUAUAACACAAAGAAGAAGAGGUUUUGGGCGCUAAAUCUAGCAUUGCAACACUGUCCGGAUCGAUGGCUUUUGUGUUUUUAGUGCCAUUUGAUCAACGCCUCAUGUUCUUGUUUCUGAAAGGCCGGGGUCGUUCUUGCUACUAGUUAAUUGGAGUAGUUUGCUCAAAAAUCUUGUUUGAAGUGUCCAUAAUUUUUGUUUUAUUUGGGUUCAAGUCUCGCUCCUUGUUAAGAAUUUUGCCAUGAUUUGAAACAGAAUGGUUCUACUAUACUGCCCCAAGGAUGGUGACAAGCUACGAUUGCAAAAGGAAGUUCCCAUUCGAGAGAAACAAUAGUUGAAGCAACUUCAAUAAAUAAAUAAAUAAAUAAUUCAAUGAUCACUUGAGAUGGCACAAUGGAAGUCGCAAGCUUUUCUUUUUUUACCUUAAAAAAAAAAUGGUGAAAUGUAAUCAAAGGGCUUGAGAACACUUUAGCUGAAGUGCUCGUCUAUGUCUUUUGACCGAGAGGAGGUUUCGUGUGCAAUUGUAUCUAGGGACUAGGAAGACUUCGUGCUCAUUUCCAAAUUUCUGCUUUGUUAUUCGCCAAUCACAC